GGGUUGUGAGGUUAAGCGACUAAGCGUACACGGUGGAUGCCCUGGCAGUCAGAGGCGAUGAAGGACGUGCUAAUCUGCGAUAAGCGUCGGUAAGGUGAUAUGAACCGUUAUAACCGGCGAUUUCCGAAUGGGGAAACCCAGUGUGUUUCGACACACUAUCAUUAACUGAAUCCAUAGGUUAAUGAGGCGAACCGGGGGAACUGAAACAUCUAAGUACCCCGAGGAAAAGAAAUCAACCGAGAUUCCCCCAGUAGCGGCGAGCGAACGGGGAGCAGCCCAGAGCCUGAAUCAGUGUGUGUGUUAGUGGAAGCGUCUGGAAAGGCGCGCGAUACAGGGUGACAGCCCCGUACACAAAAAUGCACAUGCUGUGAGCUCGAUGAGUAGGGCGGGACACGUGGUAUCCUGUCUGAAUAUGGGGGGACCAUCCUCCAAGGCUAAAUACUCCUGACUGACCGAUAGUGAACCAGUACCGUGAGGGAAAGGCGAAAAGAACCCCGGCGAGGGGAGUGAAAAAGAACCUGAAACCGUGUACGUACAAGCAGUGGGAGCACGCUUAGGCGUGUGACUGCGUACCUUUUGUAUAAUGGGUCAGCGACUUAUAUUCUGUAGCAAGGUUAACCGAAUAGGGGAGCCGAAGGGAAACCGAGUCUUAACUGGGCGUUAAGUUGCAGGGUAUAGACCCGAAACCCGGUGAUCUAGCCAUGGGCAGGUUGAAGGUUGGGUAACACUAACUGGAGGACCGAACCGACUAAUGUUGAAAAAUUAGCGGAUGACUUGUGGCUGGGGGUGAAAGGCCAAUCAAACCGGGAGAUAGCUGGUUCUCCCCGAAAGCUAUUUAGGUAGCGCCUCGUGAAUUCAUCUCCGGGGGUAGAGCACUGUUUCGGCAAGGGGGUCAUCCCGACUUACCAACCCGAUGCAAACUGCGAAUACCGGAGAAUGUUAUCACGGGAGACACACGGCGGGUGCUAACGUCCGUCGUGAAGAGGGAAACAACCCAGACCGCCAGCUAAGGUCCCAAAGUCAUGGUUAAGUGGGAAACGAUGUGGGAAGGCCCAGACAGCCAGGAUGUUGGCUUAGAAGCAGCCAUCAUUUAAAGAAAGCGUAAUAGCUCACUGGUCGAGUCGGCCUGCGCGGAAGAUGUAACGGGGCUAAACCAUGCACCGAAGCUGCGGCAGCGACGCUGAUGCGUUGUUGGGUAGGGGAGCGUUCUGUAAGCCUGCGAAGGUGUGCUGUGAGGCAUGCUGGAGGUAUCAGAAGUGCGAAUGCUGACAUAAGUAACGAUAAAGCGGGUGAAAAGCCCGCUCGCCGGAAGACCAAGGGUUCCUGUCCAACGUUAAUCGGGGCAGGGUGAGUCGACCCCUAAGGCGAGGCCGAAAGGCGUAGUCGAUGGGAAACAGGUUAAUAUUCCUGUACUUGGUGUUACUGCGAAGGGGGGACGGAGAAGGCUAUGUUGGCCGGGCGACGGUUGUCCCGGUUUAAGCGUGUAGGCUGGUUUUCCAGGCAAAUCCGGAAAAUCAAGGCUGAGGCGUGAUGACGAGGCACUACGGUGCUGAAGCAACAAAUGCCCUGCUUCCAGGAAAAGCCUCUAAGCAUCAGGUAACAUCAAAUCGUACCCCAAACCGACACAGGUGGUCAGGUAGAGAAUACCAAGGCGCUUGAGAGAACUCGGGUGAAGGAACUAGGCAAAAUGGUGCCGUAACUUCGGGAGAAGGCACGCUGAUAUGUAGGUGAAGUCCCUCGCGGAUGGAGCUGAAAUCAGUCGAAGAUACCAGCUGGCUGCAACUGUUUAUUAAAAACACAGCACUGUGCAAACACGAAAGUGGACGUAUACGGUGUGACGCCUGCCCGGUGCCGGAAGGUUAAUUGAUGGGGUUAGCCGCAAGGCGAAGCUCUUGAUCGAAGCCCCGGUAAACGGCGGCCGUAACUAUAACGGUCCUAAGGUAGCGAAAUUCCUUGUCGGGUAAGUUCCGACCUGCACGAAUGGCGUAAUGAUGGCCAGGCUGUCUCCACCCGAGACUCAGUGAAAUUGAACUCGCUGUGAAGAUGCAGUGUACCCGCGGCAAGACGGAAAGACCCCGUGAACCUUUACUAUAGCUUGACACUGAACAUUGAGCCUUGAUGUGUAGGAUAGGUGGGAGGCUUUGAAGUGUGGACGCCAGUCUGCAUGGAGCCGACCUUGAAAUACCACCCUUUAAUGUUUGAUGUUCUAACGUUGACCCGUAAUCCGGGUUGCGGACAGUGUCUGGUGGGUAGUUUGACUGGGGCGGUCUCCUCCUAAAGAGUAACGGAGGAGCACGAAGGUUGGCUAAUCCUGGUCGGACAUCAGGAGGUUAGUGCAAUGGCAUAAGCCAGCUUGACUGCGAGCGUGACGGCGCGAGCAGGUGCGAAAGCAGGUCAUAGUGAUCCGGUGGUUCUGAAUGGAAGGGCCAUCGCUCAACGGAUAAAAGGUACUCCGGGGAUAACAGGCUGAUACCGCCCAAGAGUUCAUAUCGACGGCGGUGUUUGGCACCUCGAUGUCGGCUCAUCACAUCCUGGGGCUGAAGUAGGUCCCAAGGGUAUGGCUGUUCGCCAUUUAAAGUGGUACGCGAGCUGGGUUUAGAACGUCGUGAGACAGUUCGGUCCCUAUCUGCCGUGGGCGCUGGAGAACUGAGGGGGGCUGUUCCUAGUACGAGAGGACCGGAGUGGACGCAUCACUGGUGUUCGGGUUGUCAUGCCAAUGGCACUGCCCGGUAGCUAAAUGCGGAAGAGAUAAGUGCUGAAAGCAUCUAAGCACGAAACUUGCCCCGAGAUGAGUUCUCCCUGACUCCUUGAGAGUCCUGAAGGAACGUUGAAGACGACGACGUUGAUAGGCCGGGUGUGUAAGCGCAGCGAUGCGUUGAGCUAACCGGUACUAAUGAACCGUGAGGCUUAACCUUACAACGCCGAAGGUGUUU
rnacentral:rRNA from 1 species